GGGUCAGUAGCUCUAACUGGCAGAGCAUCGGACUCCAAAUCCGAGGGCUGCAGGUUCGAAUCCUGCCUGACCCGCCA
rnacentral:tRNA from 2 species